rnacentral:snoRNA from 1 species
ACUACAACCUGUGAAGAGUCAAUCUUGAAAUUCUCUUUGUCAGCAGGUGCAGAGGAGAGGGUAUGUCUACACUCAGUGUUCUGACCUAUGAACAUCUAAAUGAUUAGUAACCUAGCAUU